UUUUGCUGGACAUCCUUCCUUAGUGAAAGCUUCCCCCGGGAACCUGGAAUCUUCUGAUACAGAGAGGUGUCCCCUGCAGUGUGCUGUGUGAGGCACGCUUGGUGAAGAGCUGCAGCACAAGAGAUGUGGCAAUUGCUGGUGAGUGCUGUAGUUGGAUGAGGCCCUUGGCUUUCCCUGCUGCUGCUUCUAGAGUUUUUAGCAUUGCCACCAGCCACUAGCUGAGCUGGUAUGGAGAUCUUCACUCAAAUGCCAGUAAGAUUAUACUGGGAGUUUGCUGUAGCUAUUCUUCAUUAUGUUUGACCACAUCACAACCCUAGUGAGGCUACAGCUUGGAUGAAAUCAGCUCAUGGGGGAAGAAAAGCUGCAAAGGCAGACCAGGAGUGCUAUCCUGGACAGAAGAAAGUGUUCUGCAGGCAAGGUGUGGUGUCUCUUGCUUUACGCUGCAAAGCCAUGAUUGUUAAAUUCUGUCUGUAAUUUAGGAGUACUGUCAGAUCUCUGGGUGCUGCUAAACUUUCUUAUAAUAGUAUCCACUUGUCACUCUUCUUCAUAUCUCAGUUUGGCUCAAAGCCUUAACCCAUUUCACAAGUUUUGUCCAAAUGCUCCCACAAACACCAAGGGCUCUGGCACCGUACUGUUCGAUGUCUGCUGGGCAUUUGUUGUCAGACCUAAUAGCACCUGUUGGAGACAGGCAGGGUGAAAAUGGAGGAUGUGACUAGCUUUGUGGAUAGUGUACCUUCUCUGUGGACCUUAUUCUAAAGUCCAGUCUUUCUGCAUCAUCUCCAAGAGAGUAACAAAACCCUUCGCUGAAUUUCUCGUGAUUUCAGUACUGGUGUGCUCAUCCUCCUCUCCUGCUCUUUCCUUGGCGUCCUUGUACCAUCAAGUGUCAGAAAAGGGUUACACUGGAUUGACUGUCACUCCAACUCAGCUGGACCCACUGUGGCUGAGUGCUGUUAAGGUCAUAUGCUUUCCUCUGGCACUAGCAAUCCUCCCACACUAGCAGCGUCAUUCCUGAAGCUGCAAAGGAUUUGACUUUUUUUCCUUGAUGUUAAGCUAACCCAGGAGAAGAUUAGGCAUGCACAUGGCCCACAGUCUAAGCAGAGCUUGUGAGGACUUUGGGGAACGUGGAGCAGCAGGAAUGAGUUUGCCUGAUGUAUCAGCACCUGGGAUGGCUUGGUUCUGCUUUCGGGUCUCAGAGCCUGCUGCUGUAUGAAGAACUGUGCAGCAUCCCAGCCCUGCCCUGCUCCUCCGCUUGGGUUCUGCACUGCUCUGCAGAGUGCCUUGCUGGCUCCUGACCCGCCUCACAAUGGAAAAUUCUUCCAUGAGCAUUAGUUACAGGAAGCAAACGAACAUCUCCUUUAAACGGCACGGCGUCACAGGGAGGAAACAGCUCAUUUUGUGAAGUACACUGUUUACCGGAAAGCGGAUGGAUCAUCUCCAAAAUACACUUCACCGAAAGGAAGAAAAAUACUUGAGGUGUUUCAGUUUUUAUACCAGUGGCCAAAUGUUAUGUAGUUUAUAGCUAACAAAAUGUGCGUUUUACGUGGACUAAAGGUGUCCUAUCCUGCACCAGGAAAUUGGUAAAACUGAGUUUCAAGUUUAAGUAAAAAUAUCCUGAGUGUGGAGAGCUUGCCAAGAUUCGUUUUACUGUGAUACUCCAUAGCCUCACUGAGCCCCCUGCAAGCUCUGUGCUUUGUGGUGAGGAUGUGAAACGAACACAUCAUCUCCUAGUGAUGCUGAUAAAUGUUGCACUCAUUUUCCUCAAUCAUUACAAUGCAGCAACUGCUUAAAGCUGGAGAUGGUUCUUACACAGGGUUGGUUUCUUGAUGGAUUCGUCUGUAAUUACAGUUUCUGCCAGCAUCUCUUUGGUGUGUCAGUCUUUUUGGUCAGACCUCAGGCUGAAGGGAAAGUGCCUCAUUCCUGAACUUGGGAGAUGUGAGUAGGAGUGUUUACAUGGAUUCAGUGCAAGAUUAGCACUGCUUUUGAUUUAGAUUAUCUACAUCAGAUGGUGUCCUGUAACAUGACGCUCAUUCAUUCAAAUUCAAAGCAUUCUAAUUUGGCAUAAAAAAAUAAAUGCAGCCACACACAGUAUUGAAAGAGGAGCUCAGGCCACAGCAAGGAAGCUACGCAGCAAGGACAAGUGAACGUGUGCAAAUAAGUGCACUGUGUGGCCAUCAGCACUGCUUUUGGGGAAGUUCUGCCUGGCCGUGGGUGCAGCAAGCAGUACAGAAAUGAUUGUAACGUUCAUUACGUGGGCGCUCCUUGCUAUAUACUGUUAACUAUCUUCUUUUGAUGUGUUAAACGUAAUAGAAAAUAGAAAAAAGGCAACAGAAACCUCUGGGGACUGAGUCUGAGCACCGUGAGAGCAAGCAGGAAAGCGUGUGCAUCUUGAAAGGUUGGUGAAACACCUGAGGGACAGCCAGAGCUUCAUGGCCAUCAUUUCACACUGUGCCAGAACACAGAGGAUCCUGCAUGUAUCUAUGUCUGAAUCAGCUCUUUAAUCUCUAUCAGAUUUGGCAGUUAUCUGACUCUAACAUUUCCAACGGGUAGUUGUUUGCAUAGUGGAUAAAAGCCUUCAUUGUGAAUCCAAAGACAUUCAUCUGUCUGCUCCAGAGGUCAAAUCCUCAAAUGGUUUGGUAAUCCUAGCACCAUCAUCUUCAUGUGAUUCCAGUGCAACGUGGUUAGCAGUUUCAGCUCAUGACUUUCACUUGAAAGGGCAUCCAGGGCUAUGGCCAACUCCUCUGGACUGUUUUGUUAAGCAAACUCUCAUAUCACUCGACUCUGCUUGACAAUUGCAAAAUGUUCAGCCAGUUAAUAUUUAUCCUAUUGUUACUAAAACUCACAAUUCAGUGUGUCUUACUUCAGACAGCAGUAUAUAUGUCAGUAGUAAUUGCUGGCUAUUUCCUGGAGCUAAAUUAAAAGCAGCUGUGGCUUGAUCUAAAUGACUAACGGACAUAUUUCCAAAAGCAGCCCAUCACUUAAAGAUGCAGCUAAAUUCAGCUCAUAUCACCUAUCUGUUUGGAUGGCAAUUUAAACCUUAAUUUACUACGAGACUUUUGUCAGUCCCUGGGGACAUCCACCCACUUUAAAUAAAUGCAUUAUUUUGGGAAGGCCUCCUUGCAGUUUCUCAGCAGUGAAUUUCCAGAGAGAAAGAGCUGUAGAGGCGUUCUACUAGCUGUAGGCUUUCCUAAGCUUUGAGAAUGUUUUUGGUGCUCUGCAUUAAGGUCAAGGUUUUUUUGGGGGGUUUAUGUCAAGUUGUCUGCAAGAGAGUGUGAGUAAGCCCAGGCCACAGUGCAAAGGAUGGAGAGAUGGCUUUCAUUCGUCUCCCUCUGGCUCUGGAGCAUAAUGCAAAAGAAGACCUGCAGCUGAUGUCAGCCUCCUGAAUGCUUCUAGCCCCUCAAUCUCCAUCUCCUUGCUCAGACCUUCAUCAGGUGAGGAGUCACAGACACAUCCAUGCCCUGAUGCCCAUCUCCAGAGCUCACACGUGUUCCCCCAAGACACCCCUUGGCACGGCCCCUUGGGAGGAGGAGGCAGUACC